UUCAGCAGAAGAUGAAACCUGUGACUGGAUGGCAUCACAGAGAAAACAGACAAGAACAUUCAUUCAAAAGUGAAAGACAUUUGCAGAACUGCACUUCCUGAGGCAGAGAAAAAUUAUGUUGUUGCUGCCAUUGAUGUUGUUCACCAACUUGGACAUCCCAAGGAGCCGACCAGAGGCCAAAAGCCACUACUCCCCCUGACCCAUUCAUGUAUGAGUGUUCUGUCAAUCUUCACCUGCCCAUCAAAUGCCCUCAGACUUUUCCACUGGCCCAAGCAUCCUGAUUCCCACAUAUACCUGCUCACCUGUUCUCACUCAUCUGCAUGUCAAAUCCUUCCUGCCUACAGGAAUGAGUAGUGAUAGAGCCAGGUGGGAGGCCAGGUGGGGAGCAGGAAUUGCA